UGUAGAUAAGGUGCAGGUGUGACUGUUCUGGUAAGGGGUUGGGCAGCCAGUGAAGAGAGAGGAGGAAGAAGCAAAGAGAAGAGAGAGAACACAUGCUCUGGAUGAGGAGGGACUAGGAGAAGGCAGCAGAGGGACUGGCAUGAAGAGUAUGAUGAAGUGCUGAAUGGCUUCACCUCCCACCAAAGUCAAGGCAAGGUGAAGAUGCUCAGCCCCUUUGCUGGAUCGGCUCCCUGGUUUCCAAGGCAACUGUUCUUCAGCAAGAUUUAAUGAGAAGGUGAGGAGAUCCAUGAAGGCCUUUGAACAUGCAGAGGAACAGAGACCUUACAGAAAUGACUGUGCUUUUUAGAUGAAAAGGACAGGCGAGUGGACUGAACGGACAAUAAAUUAUUUGACAUUUUAAUGGGUUACCAUGAUAUUGCAGAAAAUGACCUGAAUAAAGUGGCUCAGUCCCCACAGAGAAAAAUAAAAUAAAAUAAGUAUAAUGGAAAGAGGAACCAUAAAAGGCUUAAAUGUGGGUUUAUUCAAACUGUCUGAAUGAAAGUGAAAGGAGCAAGUUACAUCCCUUGUUACAGCCUCUUAACAGCAGUUGAUCUCAAAAUGAAUUAGAAAAAAAAUGUAUCUGUGAUAACCUGACAUAGAAAAGCUGGUUGGGUAAGCUCCAUAAAACACAGACUUUAUAUCAGUGCCACAAAUAGGAAGCUAUUUGCAGGAGAUGUUAUAGCACAGGCAACAGGUACUUCUUGUUCUAACCUCAAGCAGUGUCAUCUGUUACAAGAAAAGUGGAAUUGUUGCUUGUACCUGAAGUGUCUCAGAUCAUGUUUACGCUGUGCCAUGCAUUUUUGUGGCCUAGAAUUUUCCAGGUUUAUUCUAACAUGAAUAGACUUACCUUUUAGCAGCCAGAAAGAUUUUGUAAAGACAAAGACCUAUCUAUCCUCUGUGUGGCACAAAGAGUUAAGCAAAUAUGGACUUUUGAUUCAACAAGAACUGAUAUUUUAAUACUUUUCUCACUGUAAUCUAGAUAUAAAAAUGAAAACAGUUCACCUUUUUCAUUAGAAUAAAGUCUGAACCUUUUCAAUUUAGUGUUAGAAAAAUUAUUUAUUUAAAGUCAACAUUGACAUGGAAGUGGCUCUGUCCACUACGUCUCAAAAAGUCUGAGAAAACUGUGGGAAUAAUUGAUUCUGCAAACUCUUGUUUUGGGGAGAUGAAGGGAGGGGGGGCAUACUGGUUAACUUAUGGGGAAAAAAUAAUAUUUUUUUUUGAUUAAUUGAAGAGAGAGAUUUCAAGUCAAAACAUUUUGUGUGGCUGACGGGGGAUUGUUAAAAAUUUCCCUAACCCUUUUAAAUGAAGUAUUGCCAAAUCCAGACUUCAAAACAAUUAUUUUGCAACUGAAAAGGAAGAACAUUUGCUUUUGAAAAUGCUGAAAUGAAAUGUUCCCACAGAUGCUUGUCUGGAAAAAUAAAGAAAGGGAAUUUUUGACAGAAACCUGUUCAUCGAUUCCACCCAGUCACAAAUAACUCCAGACCUAUUGUCAUCUUUCACAACCCCAGAAUUAGAUGCCAGUGAAAUGAAGUGUUCAUACAGCUUUAAAAUAAAAGCAGAAGCUCAGACCUCAUGAGAGAAAGACAUGAGAGCAUUGUAAGGGCAGCUCUAGCCCCAGCCUGCCCGGAGCAGUGCAGACACAGUGACGGUGAUCACCACCAGUUCUGGGGGGAAUGGUGAACCUGUGCCACCUUGAAGCCAGCAGCAGACUUACCCAACUAUGACUUCCACCCAAGAGCCAUGGCCCUGGACAGCUUAAAGCUCUAGGUGCUGUCAGGGGAAAUAAGAGCCUGAAAAGCAAAGACGGAGAUGAAGAAACAACUUUUCUAUUGCUUUGAGUGACUGGUACUACUUACCUCAGGUGGGAGGUCUACUGCACAGUCAGAGAAGGACGGGCACCCAGCAUACUUGGGGGCUUAUGCAGGCUUCAGUGCUCUGUCUUUCAAUUUGUAGGUGAGGCUUUAUCUCCUUGUUUUUAAUCUGGUAUUUCAUCUAUUUGUGUGGAAGGGUCCUUGUUAAAGAGUCCUGAAGAGAAUGUAAUGUUUUAAUACAGUUGUCGUACGGAGAGAAGUGAGUGAACAAUUAUCCCUUUUAAUACAAUGCUGAAGGUCACAAUUUUAGCAUCUAUGAAAUGUUUUGGCCUUGUCAGCACUUUUUGUUCAUGCACCUUUAUGGGUGACUUUAAAACGGUGUUUCCAACCAUAAAGUUCUCCCAGUCUUUAAUCUUAUCGACUGUUUUCUUGAAUGUUAUAGCCAAGAUCACUUGACUAAUUCAGCUUACAAAGUACUACUGGGAAAGAGUAUUUAUGGUAGUCCCAGCAAGGACAACCAAAUUAGCUGUAGCAAGCAGCCAGCCCGAAGAAGAAAUAAAACGAGGGAGUGAGAUAAUUUGGAACAAAAUGUAAAAGAAGCACAAAUCAUUUAAUAAAGGUUUUCCCUGGAGGAAAGUUUCCAAGCAGCUGAACAUCAGGACAGCUGAGGGGAAUGAGGUCAAUUGUGUUUAGACACAAUGUGUACAUUUUACUUUUUAAAAUGAUUGUCAUUUGUCAAACUUUAUGGGCCAGAUUCUUUCCUCAGUUUAACCGAUGUUAGAAUUUAACUCAUUAAAAUAAGAUUUUGUCUUUAGCAGACAGGAAGGUGGAGAGAAAGAUUUAUGUCAAGGAAACUGUAUAACAUCCUCCAAAGUUGAAUGAUAAUGCCUAAGAACUGGGAAAUAAAAAUGGAGUAUAAAUACGAAGCAAAAUGGACUAGCUGUGUUUUGUCAAAAAGUGUAGCAAACAAACAGCAAGUCUGUAAUUCUUUAGUAGGCUCCUGGAUUAGAUAGCUGUCCUACAUAUAGGUUCAACCUUACAUGCUUUACAUUCCUGUCAUUGUAUUAAUAAAUUGAAGUCCAGGCACACAUAAUGGAAGCACUGGAGUCCAGAUGGACAAGAGGUAACGGGAACAAAUAUUAUCCUCUUAGAAUAAAACUGCCUUUUCCUGCCCUACUUCAGAUGAAAACCAUAUAGUCAUAUCUAAGUUGAAGAGAGAGAACAUCUUCACUUGCCACCAGACGUUUGCUCCCCAUCUGCAAUGGAAAGGGAGCAUUUGAAGAUGUAGCUCAGUUGAAGAUUUAGCCCUCAGUGUAUCUGGUCAUAUGUCCAAUGCUAACUCAAUGCUAUGAAGAGUGAAGCACCAUAGUUUGAUGUGAGCUGAAGAUCCACCCUGGAACUUAAUGACAGAGAAAAGGAAAGUGUUUGAGUUGCUAAAUUUACUUUUCUUCCUAAUCACUGGAAUCAUUUAUUCUCUAUGUUGCUUUUGUGUUGUAAUAACCUGCUAAUAAACUUUGAUUCCUCAAUUUAAAAA